CCUACGGGUGGCAGCAGUGAGGAAUAUUGGACAAUGGGCGCGAGCCUGAACCAGCCAAGUAGCGUGAAGGAUGACUGCCCGACGGGUUGUAAACUUCGGUUAUAAAGGAAGAAAGUGAGGCACGUGUGCCUUUUUGUAUGUACUUUAUGAAUAAGGAUAGGCUAACUCCGUGCCAGCAGCCGCGGUAAUACGGAGGAGCCGAGCGUUAUGCGGAUUUAGUGGGUUUAAAGGGAGCGUAGGUGGGUUGUUAAGUCCGUGGUGAAAGUUUGCGGCUCAACCGUAAAAUUGCACUUGAUACUGGCAGUCUUGAGUACAGUUGAGGUAGGCGGAAUUCGUGGUGUAGCGGU
rnacentral:rRNA from 1 species